ensembl:piRNA 21ur-2091 ncRNA
UCAGUUGAGUUGAAAAAAGGU